AAACAUGACUGGAUUAAAGAUAUUGAAACACAAGCACAAACUUGUCAGAUUUAUGACCGUUUAUUGAAUUUAAAAAGUCGACUAACAUAUGCAUUUUAUUUAUGCAAGCCCUUUGAUUUCACCCAUGGCUGUCUUUUUAUGUUGACAAACAGCAAAUGUCCCAAUACACCCAAAAAGAGUCAUUAAACAACAACUUUUUUUUAUUAUAAAGUUCAUGUUUUACAUGAUAAUUAUAUUUUCAUCUUGCAUAUAAAGUACCAACCCUAUUAUUUUCAACACUCUCUGCGUUUUCAUUUUAUUCUGUACUCAUAAUAAUUGUGUUG
rnacentral:lncRNA from 1 species